CGGUGGGGGGGUUGCCGCGCGUAGGCGGUUUCUUAGUCUGAUGUGAAAGCCCACGGCUCAACCGUGGAGGGUCAUUGGAAACUGGGAAACUUGAGUGCAGAAGAGGAGAGUGGAAUUCCAUGUGUAGCGGUGAAAUGCGCAGAGAUAUGGAGGAACACCAGUGGCGAAGGCGGCUCUCUGGUCUGUAACUGACGAUGAUGUGCGA
rnacentral:rRNA from 1 species